rnacentral:rRNA from 1 species
UACGAAGGGUGCUAGCGUUACUCGGAAUUACUGGGCGUAAAGAGCGCGUAGGCGGUUAGCUAAGUUGGAAGUGAAAUCCCAGAGCUUAACUUUGGAAUUGCUUUCAAGACUGGCUAUCUAGAGAAUAGUAGAGGAUGGUGGAAUUCCUGGUGUAGAGGUGAAAUUCGUAGAUAUCAGGAGGAACACCGGUGGCGAAGGCGGCCAUCUGGGCUAUAUCUGACGCUGUGGCGCGAAAGCGUGGGGAGCAAAC